CGGGCGUUAAGUUGCAGGGUAUAGACCCGAAACCCGGUGAUCUAGCCAUGGGCAGGUUGAAGGUUGGGUAACACUAACUGGAGGACCGAACCGACUAAUGUUGAAAAAUUAGCGGAUGACCUGUGGCUGGGGGUGAAAGGCCAAUCAAACCGGGAGAUAGCUGGUUCUCCCCGAAAGCUAUUUAGGUAGCGCCUCGUGAAUUCAUCUCCGGGGGUAGAGCACUGUUUCGGCUAGGGGGCCAUCCCGGCUUACCAACCCGAUGCAAACUGCGAAUACCGGAGAAUGUUAUCACGGGAGACACACGGCGGGUGCUAACGUCCGUCGUGAAGAGGGAAACAACCCAGACCGCCAGCUAAGGUCCCAAAGUCAUGGUUAAGUGGGAAACGAUGUGGGAAGGCCCAGACAGCCAGGAUGUUGGCUUAGAAGCAGCCAUCAUUUAAAGAAAGCGUAAUAGCUCACUGGUCGAGUCGGCCUGCGCGGAAGAUGUAACGGGGCUAAACCAUGCACCGAAGCUGCGGCAGCGACACUGUGUGUUGUUGGGUAGGGGAGCGUUCUGUAAGCCUGCGAAGGUGGCCUGUGAGGGUUGCUGGAGGUAUCAGAAGUGCGAAUGCUGACAUAAGUAACGAUAAAGCGGGUGAAAAGCCCGCUCGCCGGAAGACCAAGGGUUCCUGUCCAACGUUAAUCGGGGCAGGGUGAGUCGACCCCUAAGGCGAGGCCGAAAGGCGUAGUCGAUGGGAAACGGGUUAAUAUUCCCGUACUUGGUGUUACUGCGAAGGGGGGACGGAGAAGGCUAUGUUGGCCGGGCGACGGUUGUCCCGGUUUAAGCGUGUAGGUGUGUGUUCCAGGUAAAUCCGGUUCACUUUAACACUGAGGCGUGACGACGAGGCACUACGGUGCUGAAGCAACAAAUGCCCUGCUUCCAGGAAAAGCCUCUAAGCAUCAGGUAACAUCAAAUCGUACCCCAAACCGACACAGGUGGUCAGGUAGAGAAUACCAAGGCGCUUGAGAGAACUCGGGUGAAGGAACUAGGCAAAAUGGUGCCGUAACUUCGGGAGAAGGCACGCUGACACGUAGGUGAAGUGAUUUACUCAUGGAGCUGAAGUCAGUCGAAGAUACCAGCUGGCUGCAACUGUUUAUUAAAAACACAGCACUGUGCAAACACGAAAGUGGACGUAUACGGUGUGACGCCUGCCCGGUGCCGGAAGGUUAAUUGAUGGGGUCAGCGCAAGCGAAGCUCCUGAUCGAAGCCCCGGUAAACGGCGGCCGUAACUAUAACGGUCCUAAGGUAGCGAAAUUCCUUGUCGGGUAAGUUCCGACCUGCACGAAUGGCGUAAUGAUGGCCAGGCUGUCUCCACCCGAGACUCAGUGAAAUUGAACUCGCUGUGAAGAUGCAGUGUACCCGCGGCAAGACGGAAAGACCCCGUGAACCUUUACUAUAGCUUGACACUGAACAUUGAGCCUUGAUGUGUAGGAUAGGUGGGAGGCUUUGAAGUGUGGACGCCAGUCUGCAUGGAGCCGACCUUGAAAUACCACCCUUUAAUGUUUGAUGUUCUAACGUGGACCCGUUACCCGGGUUGCGGACAGUGUCUGGUGGGUAGUUUGACUGGGGCGGUCUCCUCCUAAAGAGUAACGGAGGAGCACGAAGGUUGGCUAAUCCUGGUCGGACAUCAGGAGGUUAGUGCAAUGGCAUAAGCCAGCUUGACUGCGAGCGUGACGGCGCGAGCAGGUGCGAAAGCAGGUCAUAGUGAUCCGGUGGUUCUGAAUGGAAGGGCCAUCGCUCAACGGAUAAAAGGUACUCCGGGGAUAACAGGCUGAUACCGCCCAAGAGUUCAUAUCGACGGCGGUGUUUGGCACCUCGAUGUCGGCUCAUCACAUCCUGGGGCUGAAGUAGGUCCCAAGGGUAUGGCUGUUCGCCAUUUAAAGUGGUACGCGAGCUGGGUUUAGAACGUCGUGAGACAGUUCGGUCCCUAUCUGCCGUGGGCGCUGGAGAACUGAGGGGGGCUGCUCCUAGUACGAGAGGACCGGAGUGGACGCAUCACUGGUGUUCGGGUUGUCAUGCCAAUGGCACUGCCCGGUAGCUAAAUGCGGAAGAGAUAAGUGCUGAAAGCAUCUAAGCACGAAACUUGCCCCGA
rnacentral:rRNA from 4 species